rnacentral:rRNA from 1 species
AGUGAACGCUGGCGGUAGGCCUAACACAUGCAAGUCGAACGGAAGGACAGUAAGAGCUUGCUCUUACGGGUGGCGAGUGACGGACGGGUGAGGAAUACAUAGGAAUCUAAUUUUUCGGGGGGGAUAACGGAGGGAAAGAUACGCUAAUACAGGAUACGAUCUACGGGUGGAAGCAGGGGAGAUACGGGGUUUGCGCGACAGAAAGAGACGAUGCCGGGUUAGCUAGUUGGGGGGGUAAGGGCCCACCAAGGCGACGAUGCGUAGCCGGUCUGAGAGGAUGAUCGGCCACACUGGAACUGAGACACGGUCCAGACUCCUACGGGAGGCAGCAGUGGGGAAUCUUGCGCAAUGGGCGCAAGCCUGACCCAGCCAUACCGCGUGAGUGAUGAAGGCCUUCGGAUUGUAAAACCCUGUUGUUGGGAAAGAAAAGCUGCAUGUUUAUCCCCCGCUGUUCUGACGGUACCUAAUGAAUAAGCACCGGCUAACUUCGUG